rnacentral:rRNA from 1 species
GACGAACGCUGGCGGCGUGCUUAACACAUGCAAGUCGAGCGAUGAAGCUUCUUCGGAAGUGGAUUAGCGGCGGACGGGUGAGUAACACGUGGGCAACCUGCCUUGUAGAGGGGGAUAGCCUUCCGAAAGGAAGAUUAAUACCGCAUAACAUAACGAAUUCGCAUGGAUUUGUUAUCAAAGAUUUAUCGCUACAAGAUGGGCCCGCGUCGCAUUAGCUAGUUGGUGAGGUAACGGCUCACCAAGGCCACGAUGCGUAGCCGACCUGAGAGGGUGAUCGGCCACAUUGGAACUGAGACACGGUCCAGACUCCUACGGGAGGCAGCAGUGGGGAAUCUUGCGCAAUGGGCGAAAGCCUGACGCAGCAUGCCGCGUGAAUGAUGAAGGUCUUAGGAUUGUAAAAUUCUUUCACCGGGGACGAUAAUGACGGUACCCGGAGAAGAAGCCCCGGCUAACUUCGUGCCAGCCGCCGCAGUAACAC